GAAGAGAGAGCUUAUGCCAACUCCUCGUAUUAUGGGCGAUAUGAUGGUUCUUGCAACCGGUGAAGUCCUUAUCCUUAAUGGUGCUAAAAGAGGAGCUUCUGGUUGGGGUUUUGCUCGCGAACCUAAUUUUACUCCAGUUUUGUAUAGCCCAACUGCUGAUAGAGGAGCAAGAUUCACUGAGCUAGCACCAUCCACCAUACCCAGAAUGUACCAUUCAACCUCCACGGUUUUACCUGACGGAAAAAUCCUUGUCGCUGGUAGCAACACAAACAAUGGAUAUAUUUAUGAUGCUAUGUACCCUACUGAGCUGCGUGUGGAGAAAUACUCACCACCUUACUUAAACGCUGCCGUUAUACAGAAAAGACCAGAGAUUGUGACCUUCAAUGAGCAAAUGACUUAUGCUCAGAAUAUUGAUAUUGAAGCCAAGAUAGCAGGUGACAAAGUGCAAAAGCAAAAUGUGUGUGUUACUAUGUACUCUCCUGCUUUUACUACUCAUGGAGUUAAUAUGAAUCAAAGGCUUAUCGUGUUGGGAGUAAAAGAGGUCAUCCCUGCCAAUGGAAACUUCAAAAUUUCCGCCACUGCACCAAUUUCUAACGCCGUUGCUCCUGUCGGAUAUUAUAUGCUCUCGGUUAUUUUUGAGGGAGUACCUAGCAUUACCAAAUGGGUUCAGAUCAAGUGAAAUAAUUCUUCACGAGAAUUCUUUUUGAAAUUUUGUAUUAAUUGUUUUGGUAAUAUUUUAUUCUUUUAUUAUGUUAGUAUUUUGAAAUAUUUAUCUUCUUUGAUUUAAUAAAAACAAAUUUUGAUAUUAUUUCCCAUCUUUAGUUGUCUGCGCCACAUAUUCUUCUAUUUAACUUUAUUAUUAAGGUAUUCUUUUAUUGCCAUUGAAUUAUUUUUAUUAUUGAUUUUAGUUUUUUUUUUUAAAUUUUGGUUCUAGGGUUGAUUUUAAUUCUAGGUUUGAUUUUAAUUUUAGAUUUGAUUUUCAUUUUAUGAAUUACAUAAAAAUUCACAUAAAUAUUAAAAUAUACAAUAGUAUUAUAAAUUUAUAAUUCAAUUAUUUAUUAUUGGUAAUAUGUUUAAAAUUUAACAACUUAAAAAAUUUUAGAAUUCUAAAUCUAUUGAAAACAAAAUAUAAUAUUUAAUCUAUCCCAAAAGAUGAACUUAACAUUAUAACUCAUGGUUCUAUUUUAAUAUUUUUUAAAAAAUUAUAUGAAAUUAAAUUGAUUUAAUCUUUUUAUUCAAAGCUGAUUUUUUUUUUUUACUGUAAAUGAGAGUAUACAAUGUAUUUUCCAAAUUUAAUUUGUUUGACUAAAAUUUACGACCAUCUAGAAAAUAUUUUUAAUAAUAAUAUUGUUAAAAUUUAAAAAUUAAAGAAAUAUAAUCUAAAUAAAAUUAUUAAACAAAUUUUAUAUUUAAAUAAUUUAAAAUUUUUGAAAUUAAUAAUAAUUUAAUCUUUAUGAUGUUGUUUUAAAAGUUUUAACUUUAUGAAAUGCUAAUCAUGCAUGCAUAAUACUCAUAUGGCAUCGUAUGAAAUGAUGAAUUUUCGAACUUCAUAAGAAAAAAUUUUUGGUCCGUGACUGUUUGUUAUGUUCUAAUAAUAGUGUUGUUUGGCCAUUGUUAAUCGAUUAACAGUUUUCCUUCUAUCAUAUAUAGGGACAGAUUACAGUGCAUGAUGUUAAUAAUUCUGCACCCAUAGGAAAUAAUUAAUUGCCAUUAGAUUUUAUUGUUUAAAAUCUAGCCAUUCGAUGCUAGAAUAAGAGAAAAACCAACUACCUCUUGUAUAGGUAAAAGAAAUUCCUAUUUAGUUUAAAAAUAAAAAUGAUUGCUUAAUUACUAUUAAAUAUUUAUUUAUUAACCCAAAAUCAAUUUCAUCAACUUUAUUUUUUGAAGGCCUACUUUUAUUUGUAUAGAAAAAAUUUAAAUCACAUAUAUAUAAAUUUUUAUAAAUUUAUAUCAUUAAAUAUUUUUUUUUAUUCUCCUAAUGAAUAUAUUAUUAUUAACCGGUUAAUUUUAUUAUAUUAAAUAUUUAUAUUAAUAAUUCAUUAUUAGCUAUUAACUUUUAUAAAAGUAAUUGUGUUAUCUUAUUAAAUUUAAUAUUUUAAUUUACACAUCAUUUACUUUAUCUCAUUUAAUUAUUUUUUUAAAUUCUCCUUUACUUAAUUUAUAAUAUUAUAAUAAAUAUUUAUGAACUAACGAACGUGGUUAAAUUCUUUUCUUACUUAUGAGAAUGUUGUUAAAAUUAUUAAAAUAAAUAAAAAUUAAUUUAUAAAAAAUAUUUUCUAUCCAAAUGAAAUUGAAAAAAUAUAUAAUUAAAAACAAUGAUAUGUAUUUUUUUGAACAGUAAUUUUAAAAAAUAUUUUUUAUAUUAAAAGAAGAAAAAUAAAAAUUUACAAAGAAUAAAAAAACACUUACGAUUAGAUUGGAUGAAAGGAGGAAGGAAUCGUUAAAGUAAGCUAUAAUAUGGUACGAAAAAGCACGAUAAAUGUCUUUUUUAUAUUUGUGGAGAAAGUAUGAUAAAUGAAUAUUUAAUAUCAUUGUUUUAUUUAGUUUGAUAACAGAGGAAUAAAAUGUUAAAUAUAAAUGUUACAAAAAUACCUUUGUCAUGAAAGAUUUAUAAAUAUAAUUAUGAAUAGUUUUAAAAAUUAAAAUUUUUAACUAUAUUUACACUUCAAUUCAGGGUGUUAGAAAAUUGGAGUAUUUAAAUGAAUUUUCAACCUCUCAAAUAACUUUUUAACUCUCUAUCAAAUAAUCUUCAUACAAAUAAUCUCUUAUAUAACUAAUGGGAUGUACCUGCUAUAGUAAGUUAGGAUGCUAAAUGACAAAAAAUUAUAGUUUUUCUGUCAAUACAGUAGUAAAAGCCUCGUGUAUAAUUGCUUUCGAGGAAUAUUUUUGAAAAAAAACACGCGGUCGUCGAACGGCUUAAAAAGAGAUUGCAAUUUACACGUAAGUUAAGUAACGACGUCGUUAGAGAGUCAAAUAAGUAUGUUCAUCUCUUGCCUUUGGUUCCAGGCAAAUACGCAGAAUUUGCGCGGAGCUGAUAUGGUAAUGAUCAGAGUUAUUGCUUUUAAACUCCAAACAGACACAGAUCAAAAUAUUGAUCUUUCAAUUACGUUUUAAUUAAAAAAGUUUUGUGACACGAAAAUUGUAAGGUGAAUAUCGCCUGGAACACAAAAUAGCACUCUGUACUAUAACAGGAUAGCUAAAUUAGGGAGAAAAUGGAAGCAUUAUAUACAAUCACGUAAUACAGAGCCAAACAACAAAUACAAUAAAACCCUUAUCCAACAACCAACCCAAUCCGGUUCUCUUCCCCUAAAAGCAUCCGAAAAUAGCUGUAGCAGCAAAAGGUCUCGCGUUUAUAAUGGGAACAUCCAGAGAUAUCAUCGGUCGCUCAGGAGAGCGAGGAAAGUAGCGGAAGCUGAGAGAUUGAGCAAGUUUUUAAGUGGAGAUUAGUUUUUCGUGAAGCUUUGGUGGGUUUACGGAAGAGGAGGAGAAUUGGAUCAAUGGCUGUUCGCUAAAUAAGGAACGACUUCUCUGUUUUAUCGCAUCCUACUAACAACUUCUUGUACCUAUAAAAGGCGUUAACACAGAAGGGAAAAGCAAUAAUCAGGGAGAAGAAGAAAAAUAAAAAAACAAAAAAAAAAUUAAAAAAGAAAAAAAGAGAGAAAAAAAAUAUUUUUGUAUAGCAAUGGCGAUAAUUUUCAAAAUUUUGUUACUUCUCUCUGUGUUGUUUGUUUCUGGUUAUGCUCAUGAAGAUGCUCAUGCAGUUCCCCAUGGAAAUGCUCAUGAAGUUCCCCAUGGAAAUGCUCAUGCAGUUCCCCAUGGAAAUGCUCAUGCAGCUGCUCCUCCUGGAGAGGAGUUGGAGAACUUGUGGGUAGAGAAAGACGCUUAUAAAAUUUUCAACCAGGAACAAGUAUUAGGUCCUCAUGAAAUGUUCGGAAAUCCUUUUGGUAAUCCGAACGAUUUCAAGGCGAACAAAAUACCUAACGAUUUUGGUACUCCAAUAAAGGGUGAUGAUGUGGCCGAAAUAACAGCCGAUGCAGUUGCUGCGGCACCGGCUGCUGCUGCUACUGGUAUCACUGCUACAGAUGAUGGUGGCGGUGCUAAAGGUGAAGCUGGCGCUGCUGGUGCUGUCGCUGGUAAUGCUAAAGCUGGUGGUGCGGCUUCUGUUGUUCCUAUGCCAGUUGAACUGGGAUACAAAGGGGAAUGGGAACUUGUCUCUGAAAAUUCUGGCGUCUCGUCUAUGCAUGCAAUAUUGCUUCCUAAAAUUGACAAGGUUUUGAUGUAUGAUGCUACCAUUUGGAAAAUUUCAAAAAUUGAAUUGCCUAAUGGAAAAUGUCGUGUUCUUGACCAAGCCACCGGUGAGAAAGAUUGUUGGUGCCAUUCUGUCUUAUAUGAUAUUAAGGACGGAAAACUUACCCCUCUCGAGGUACUAAUUAAUUAAUUAAUUUGAUGUUUCAUUUUAAUAACUAUUUAUUAAUUUCCCAUUUCAUAAUUCUAUUAUUUCUUGGCUGCAGCUCAAUACCGAUACCUGGUGCUCAUCAGGAGGUCUUGAUAUUGAAGGCAACUUGGUAAGCACCGGAGGAUUUCAAGGAGGUGCAAAUACUGUCAGGUACCUUGGCACUGCUGAAGGCAGCGAUUGGAGAGAGUAUCCAACUGCUCUUGCGGAUCGUAGAUGGUAUUUGAAUACAACUCUAGUACUUUGGGGCCAAAAGACCCAUAAAACAUAUAUCUAGAAAAACAAAACUAUGCUUAAUUUUUUAUAAUUUUUUUGUUAUUUCAGGUACUCGACACAGGCAACAUUGCCAGAUGGUGCAUUUAUCGUCGUAGGUGGCCGUGAUGCCUUUAGCUACGAGUAUAUUCCUAAGGAAGGGCAAUCCAAUCCCAAACCUUUCUUCUUUGAAUUCCUCCGCCAAACCAGUGAUCCAGAAGAAAACAAUCUGUACCCAUUUGUCUACUUAUCCACUGAUGGCAAUGUGUUCAUCUUUGCCAACAGUCGCUCUGUCUUGCUCAGCCCUACUACCAACCAAAUUGUCAAAGAAUUCCCAGAACUUCUUGGUGGUUCCCGUAGCUAUCCCGCUAGUGGAGCCUCCGUGCUCCUCCCAAUCAAAAUCCAUUCCCAGGAUCCCAAAGAGACUCUUCCAGCUGAAGUCUUGAUUUGCGGUGGCUCUGCACAUAAAGUUUCAUAUUCCAAAGCCGAAAAACAAAUCUUCUACGAAGCGCUUGAAGAUUGUGGAAGAAUGAGAAUCACAGCUAAAAAUCCUGUUUGGAAGAGAGAGCUUAUGCCAACUCCUCGUAUUAUGGGCGAUAUGAUGAUUCUUCCAACUGGUGAAGUCCUUAUCGUAAAUGGUGCUAAAAGAGGAGCUUCUGGUUGGGGUUUUGCUCGCGAACCUAAUUUCACUCCAGUUUUGUAUAGCCCAAGAGCUAAAAGAGGAACAAGAUUUACUGCACUAGCACCAUCCACCAUACCCAGAAUGUACCAUUCAACCUCCACUGUUUUACCUGACGGAAAAGUCCUUAUCGCCGGUAGCAACACAAACAAUGGAUAUAUUUACGAUGCUAUGUACCCUACUGAGUUGCGUGUGGAGAAAUACUCACCACCUUACUUAAACGCCGCCGUUAUACAGAAGAGACCAGAGAUUGUGACCUUCAAUGAGAAAAUGACUUAUGCUCAGAAUAUUGAUAUUGAAGUCAAGAUAGCUGGUGGCAAAGUGGAACAGGGAGAUGUGAAAGUUACUAUGUAUUCUCCUGCUUUUACUACUCAUGGAAUU
rnacentral:lncRNA from 1 species